AACGCACGAGACCUGCGGACCUGCGGAAGGAUCAUUACCGAGUUUACAACUCCCAAACCCAAUGUGAACGUUACCAAACUGUUGCCUCGGCGGGAUCUCUGCCCCGGGUGCGUCGCAGCCCCGGACCAAGGCGCCCGCCGGAGGAUCAACCAAAACUCUUUUGUAUACCCCCUCGCGGGUUUUUAUAUCUGAGCCAUCUCGGCGCCUCUCGUAGGCGUUUCGAAAAUGAAUCAAAACUUU
rnacentral:misc_RNA from 1 species